rnacentral:rRNA from 1 species
AAUGAACGUUGGCGGCGUGGAUUAGGCAUGCAAGUCGUGCGGAAGUGGCCCGCAAGGGUUACUUUAGCGGCGAAAGGGAGAGUAAUACGUAGGUACCUACACCUGGAACCGGGAUAGCUGCGGGAAACUGCAGGUAAUACCGGAUAACGUCUACGGACCAAAGGUGUGAUUACGUUCGGGGAGGGGCCUGCGUCCUAUUAGCUAGUUGGUGAGGUGAUGGCUCACCAAGGCAAAGAUGGGUACGGGGUAUGAGAGUAUGCCCCCGCGCACUGGGACUGAGACACUGCCCAGACACCUACGGGUGGCUGCAGUCGAGGAUCUUCGGCAAUGGGGGAAACCCUGACCGAGCGACGCCGCGUGUGGGAUGAAGGCCCUCGGGUUGUAAACCACUGUCAGAGGGGAUGAAAUGCUAUGGGGUUCUCUCCAUAGUUUGACAUAUCCUCAGAGGAAGGACGGGCUAAGUUCGUGCCAGCCGCCGCCGUAA